rnacentral:lncRNA from 1 species
UCUGAUGUGUCAGAGUAAAAAGACUUUAUGCAAAUCCUCUGUAAAGAGCAAGUGUUGGUAGAAGGAGGCCGGGGGCCUCCACAUCCCAGACCUGGGAAGCUCAGAAAGAGGAUGUGAGUCACCAAAGUUUAGCCUCACCUGCUCUAAGCCUUGUGCUGUUUAUGUCCAAGGGCUGUGCUUUCAUUUCUGUUGUCCUGCUGUUCCCUCCCUAGAAUCCAGGGUAGAGGGGACAGUUACUCCCAUUUUACAGAUGAGGAAUACUGAGGUCACAGAAGUGAUUUGCCCAAGGUCAAGUGGCUAAGAGAGAAGCCUAACUGAGAUUCCAUUCUGGACUGUUUGGAGAACCAGUACCCGUACCCUACAUCAGGUGAGCCCUUGAAUACUGCCAUGAUCACUAUAGACAGGCACUGCACAGUUCCAGGCUAUUAGGACAGGACUUCUCUGAGGGGAAAUCAGGGGAGGGCCCCAUAUACAGGGGGAGGGGUAGUUUGGCUCUGCAUUAUUUCAUGAGUUCCCUGAUUUAGGGGAGACACAAUGUCUCCUGACCCAGUCUCACUUAUGCAGAUGGUGGUCUGAUGAUAACAUCACCUGCCCCUGCCUGGCUCCCACACCCUUGCCAUCCCAUGACAAGAGUCCCCAAGACCCCUGCCUUUCCAAGACCGAGUAGAGCUACGGGACCAAGUUGGAAAACCCUUUCCCACCCUAUGCCUGGUGACAGCUCAGCCAGCUGAGCCGCAGGAGCCCAGAGUCCUCAGCUCUUCCCAGCUAACCCUCUGCGGCUUGGGACCUGUGGUGUUCCUGUGUCCCAGGCUCUGUGGGAUCUCAGAGGGGGCUGCGCCUUCUGCCCUCUGGCAGUUCCCACACGGGCUGGCUGAGGCUCCUACUCUCUGCACUCCGCCCCUCUCUCCAGCAAUCCCCUGGGAGCCACUGUGUUCAAUGGGCUAUCAGGCUUCCCCAUCACUCUCACGCCCCCCUCCAUUACCCCUGAAUAGGUGGGAUCCAGACCCACACAAGCACUCCCAGCCCCAAGUCCCCAGCCAAUCUUUCCCAGGAUCGCCUGGGACCUCACAGUUCUGAUGCACUACCUGCCUAGCCCUGCUCAAGACUCAAAGUCCUGGGCGGCUGGCACUCCAAGAGGCUGCCAUUCUAUUGUUUGGCAACAGCAUAUUCUAAAGCAGCAGUGUAAACUCAGCGCCAACACCCUCAGAUUGUAAGAUUCUGCUCAGCGAGCCUAGUAGCAGGUAAAAGUUGGGAUCUCUAAGAUCUCAGUUUCCAUCACCCUAAGCACCGACAUUCAGGGAUUCUAUGUGUCUCCAGCGUCCUUUGGGUUUUUGGCCACUGCAGCAGCUUCUGGCCACAAUACAAGGAGAGGCCUACACGGGGUGGGGCAGGCAGGACAGGCGGUGGUUGCCUGGCUUGUUUUUUUGAGGGGAGGUGGGAGGCUGUUGGCCAUGGGCCCCUUUAGGGUCCACAUCUGCUGGGUUGGGGCUCAGCCAGAGCCCGGCUGGCUGGUCCAGUUGCCGGGCUGCAGAGGCGAGGAAGGGAGCCCGGCUGGCAGGCUGUGUGAUGCUAAUGAGGCAGGGAGGCACGGCUUUUGUCCUGCACUUGUCCUUGCUGGAGGGUC